rnacentral:rRNA from 1 species
GUCUGUGGCCAUACCACCCGGAAUGCACUCAAUCUUGUCUGAUCUUGGAAGAUAAGCAGGGUCAGCAUGGUUAGUACUCGGAUGGGAGAUCAUGUAGGAAUACCAGAGGCUGUAGGCU